rnacentral:rRNA from 1 species
UACGUAGGGUGCGAGCGUUGUCCGGCUUUAUUGGGCGUAAAGAGCUCGUAGGCGGUUUGUCGCGUCGGCCGUGAAAACUUGGGGCUUAACCCCAAGCUUGCGGUCGAUACGGGCAGACUUGAGUUCGGCAGGGGAGACUGGAAUUCCUGGUGUAGCGGUGAAAUGCGCAGAUAUCAGGAGGAACACCGGUGGCGAAGGCGGGUCUCUGGGCCGACACUGACGCUGAGGAGCGAAAGCGUGGGGAGCGAACAGG